rnacentral:rRNA from 1 species
CGGGGGGAGCAAGCGUUGUUCGGAUUUACUGGGCGUAAAGGGCGCGUAGGCGGCCGACCGCAACGUCGACUGUGAAAUCUCCGGGCUUAACCCGGAAAGGUCAGCCGAUACUGCGGGGCUAGAGUGCCAGAAGGGGCAACUGGAAUUCUCGGUGUAGCGGUGAAAUGCGUAGAUAUCGAGAGGAACACCUGCGGCGAAGGCGGGUUGCUGGGCUGACACUGACGCUGAGGCGCGAAAGCUAGGGGAGCGAACGGGAUUAGAUACCCCGGUAGUCCUAGCCUUAAACGAUGAAUGCUUGGUGUCUGGGGUUUUAUAGUCCCCGGGUGCCGUCGCUAACGCUUUAAGCAUUCCGCCUGGGGAGUACGGUCGCAAGACUG